AGGCGAUAACGUGGCUGUUUUCCACUCCGCCUGUCUGCGUGGUUCCGUGGUGACCUCUGAGCAGACAACAGCACAAAGGCAUCCCGCGGCUCGACGCGAGAGGUGGGUACAGCCAACAGCACAGGGCAGUAUUUUACCAUGGCUGUAAUUAUCCAGAGGGGUCUUCUGAGAGAGGCUCCGAUGGCCUCUUUGCUGCUUUAGGACCUUCAAUGAAGAUUGCUGUCCUUAGGGAUUCAGAAGAUCGUCCUGCAGUUAUCACAGGAGAAAUACAGCGUCCUCAGUGUAAGCCCGUGCUGGGGACGCCCUGUCCGACCCUGCUCUGAACCUGGGCGUGUGGCAGCCUUGGAGCCGCUUGUUUUAGGUAUUAUCUGCAGCAGCUGUUCCCACCCGAGAAAGAAGAGCUGUGCCGGGAGCAGGGGUG
rnacentral:lncRNA from 1 species